GCCACCGUAGCUCAGCCUGGUUAGAGCGGCGGUUUCGUAAACCGCAGGUCCGGGGUCCAAAUCCCUGCGGUGGCU
rnacentral:tRNA from 1 species